GAUAGAUUGGUAGGUAGAUAGGUAGACAGACAGAUAGAUUGGUAGGUAUGUAGACCAAUAGAGAGACAGAUAGAUUGGUAGGUAGAUAGGUAGACAGACAGAUUGAUAGGAAUGUAGACAGGUAGAGAGACAGAUAUAUUGGUAGGUAGAUAGGUAGACAGACAGACAGAUCAAUAGAUUGGUAGGUGGGUAGGUAGGUAGGUAGACAGACAGGUAGAUUGGUAGGUAGGUAGAUAGGUAGAUAGGUAGAUUGUAGUUACAGGUAGAUUGGUAGGGAGGAAGAUAGAAAGACAAACAGACAGACAGGUACCUCAUUGAUCCCAAAGGGAAGAUCUGGAUAUCCAGUAGCUGAUAUACAAAGUACACAGAAGUUACAAAAGAAGAUACAGAAAAAUGUACAAUAAAAUAUAAACUAUAAAAGUAGAGUCUAGUUUAUCUUGAACUCGUAGUCUGACCGUAGUUCCAGUAAUCCAUGUUCUUGGACUGUUCUUGGUCUUCAGCAAACUGUUUCAGGCUUUCAUGUGCAUCAGCUUCAGAAGAGGCUUUCUUCUGGGACAGUGCCAUCCAGACAGAGUUGAUGCCUCAGUGUGUGGUGUAUGGUCUGAGCACUCCAGGCUAAUCUUGUACCACUUCUUCAACCUCUGCAGCAAUACUGGCAGCACUUAUGUGUCUAUUUUUGGUUGCAAAUAAAAAUAGUGGCAAUUGAUGCAGUUUACAUCUAACUUUAUAUAUGACUGUUUAAAAAGGAUUUCAAAAAGGCAGAGUCUCUCAAAAGCAAAUAUGGGCAGAGCUUCAUAAAUCUGACAAAUACUGUGUCUAAAAUUUGUGUAACAAUUUCAGAAAAAUAUUUUUUAGUGUAAAACUGUAAAUACUUCAGGGAUCAUGCAGAAAAUCAUCCAGAAAACCAUCCAGAAUUAUAGUGAUCUUCUCUAGGCCAAAGAAAAGUGAAAAAACUGUAAAUUUCUGAAGACAGAUUAAUCACAAUUUACAUUUUUUGUCUGAGAGAUUUGGAAGAUUUGGAUUGGCAAUAGUUUUGGAUUGUGUUGAAAUAUGGAUUAUUACAGACUGGACAAUGCACUAUGACACAUUUACAUGCACUAUAAGUUAUAUAUAUAUGUGUAUAACAAGUACUAUAUUUUAAUAUGAAUUGUAA